rnacentral:rRNA from 1 species
CACGUAGGGCGCAAGCGUUGUCCGGAAUUAUUGGGCGUAAAGAGCUCGUAGGCGGUCUGUUGCGUCCGCUGUGAAAACUCGGGGCUUAACCCCGAGCCUGCAGUGGAUACGGGCAGACUAGAGGUAGGUAGGGGAGAAUGGAAUUCCCGGUGUAGCGGUGAAAUGCGCAGAUAUCGGGAGGAACACCGGUGGCGAAGGCGGUUCUCUGGGCCUUACCUGACGCUGUGGAGCGAAAGCGUGGGGAGCGAACAGG